UCCGUAGGUGAACCUGCGGAAGGAUCAUUAUCGUAUCAUAGAGACGCGAGGGCUGUCGCUGACCUUUUUCAAAGGUCGUGCACGUCCGAGUGUUCUCAUCUACAAUCCACCUCACCCCUUGUGCAUCACCGCGCGGGAGCCCCCCUCUCUCUCGGCUUGUUUGCUCGCUUCUGAGGGAGGCUCAGCGUUUUUCACACAAACACCUCUUUUAGUUUAGAAUGUCAUUCAUUUGCGAUCACACGCAAUCAAUACAACUUUCAACAACGGAUCUCUUGGCUCUCGCAUCGAUGAAGAACGCAGCGAAAUGCGAUACGUAAUGUGAAUUGCAGAAUUCAGUGAAUCAUCGAAUCUUUGAACGCACCUUGCGCCCCUUGGCAUUCCGAGGGGCACACCCGUUUGAGUGUCGUGAAAUUCUCAAACCUUCUUGGUUUAUCAACUAAGAUGGCUUUGGACUUUGGAGGCAUUUUGCUGGCUCUGUGAAAAGUCGGCUCCUCUUAAAUGCAUUAGUGGGAUCCCCUUUGCCGAUCCCCAGGCGUGAUAAGAUGUUUCUACGUCUUGGGAUUUGCUCUGUUCCUUGGGAAACCUGCUUCCAACCGUCUCACGGGGAGACGUUGUCCGAGUUUGGCUCGGCCCCAUGAACCUUGACCUCAAAUCGGGUGAGACUACCCGCUGAACUUAAGCAUAUCAAUAAGCGGAGGA
rnacentral:sRNA from 1 species